rnacentral:pre_miRNA from 1 species
AGGGGAGGCCGGAUCCUGGGCUGUGUCCUGGUGCCCUGUGCUCCUGGGCCUGCGCUCUUGGAUUCGCCCUCCUGGCCGUGCAGCCGCCU